GAGACAUCUUCUUCCUUCGGGCCUGCUCCUGGGAUUGGCGCUGCUUUGAAUUGUCAGUGCCUUCCUUCUCUUUGCUUUGUUCUUUGAGUCGCCUCAAAAGCAUACGGUCGCGCCACAUCCUUCUCUCAAGCUCAUCAACAUCCAGCUCUUCAUCACUAUAAUCUUCCUCCAAAGCAGCCUCAGCUUCAUGCUCCUGAGCUGUCUCUUGUUCCCCAGGAGGAGCCGAAAAAUAUUCAAGAUUCCGGCAAAAGCCAAUAUCUUCAAAGAUUCCCAUGGUGUUCAUCAUUGGAAUAAACACUCCGCAGUUACAAAAGCAAUUAAUUUAUACCCCAGUGUCGUUGGCUUGAAA
rnacentral:misc_RNA from 1 species